CCCACGAGCCUCGCAUAGACCACC
rnacentral:siRNA from 1 species